UUGAAACCUGUUGAUAAUAUAUAAUUUCAAGGCGGCAUAUAUUAGGUUGGAAACUAUGAAACGGGCGUUUUUUGUUUAGUCUGUGUUCAGCUACGAUCGAGAGAGAUACAUUGUAACGUGUGCUCGAUAUUUUAAUUUAUAAAGCUUAAAGAUGGAAACAAAAUGCGAUUUACAUCUACUCUUCUUGUACGAGUUUAAAUUAAAUCAUACCGCAGCUCAAGCUUCAAGAAAUAUUAAUCAGGCAUUCGGAGAUGGAUCCACCAAUGAAAAAAUGCUCGAUAUUGGUUCCAAAAAUUUCGUUCUGGCAAUUUGAGUAUCGUCAAUGAGCCUCGAGGAAGACCACCGGCCCAUAUUGAUAACGAGGAAUUAAGGAAGACUGUGAAAUCCGAUCCACACACAACUAGUCGAACACUUGGGUCUAAACUAGGAACUAGUCAUACAGCUGUGUUAAAACAUUUGCCUGAAAUAAAUAAAGUCAAGAAAUUGGACUCAUAAGUGCUGCACGAAUUGACGCAACUGCAGAUGAUCGACCGUAAAAGCAAGUGCGCAUCUUUGUUGCUACGCAAUACACGAUUGUCAUUUUUACACCAAAUCAUCACUUGUGAUGAAAAGUGGAUUUUGUAUGAUAAUCGGAAACGAUCAAGCCAAUGGGUAGAUAAGAAUACACCCCCAGGACACACCCCGAAAUCGAAAUUUCAU